CACACACACCACCAGGAACACACCACCAGGAACACACCACCGAGAAGAACAUACCACUAAUCGACAAACACAAGUGGAUCAGAUUUAGGACUCUGUCAGAAUCGAGUGUGUUACUCACGGUGCAGGUGACAGAUUUGGCGGUGCUGGACUCCUGGAAGUGCAGGGUGAAGUCAUGGUCCCCGGGGUAAUCUGAGGAGACGGGGACGGUGGAGGAGGACGGAGGAGAGGACGAGGGCUGAGGCUGCAGGGGGAAGUGGCUAUAUCAAUAAAAACAGCUGCUGCUGAUGAUGAUUAUAGAUGGUGAAGGUUGUACUUACACUAAGUUGUGGAACCAGAGCU